rnacentral:tRNA from 1 species
GCCCCCGUAGCUCAGCAGGACAGAGCGGUCGCCUCCUAAGCGAUAGGUCAGAGGUUCGAAUCCUCUCGGGGGCGCCA